rnacentral:rRNA from 1 species
GACGAACGCUGGCGGCGUGCUUAACACAUGCAAGUCGAACGGAAAGGCCCUGCUUUUGUGGGGUGCUCGAGUGGCGAACGGGUGAGUAACACGUGAGUAACCUGCCCUUUACUUUGGGAUAACUUCAGGAAACUGGGGCUAAUACCGGAUAGGAGCUCCUGCUGCAUGGUGGGGGUUGGAAAUUUUCGGCGGGUGGGGAUUGACGCGCGGCUUAUCAGCUUGUUGGUGGGGUAGUGUCUUACCAAGGCUUUGACGGGUAGCCGGCAUGAGAGGGUGACCGGCAACAUGGGGACUGAGAGACGGCCAAGACGCUUACGGGAGGAAGCAGUGGGAAUAUUGCACAAUGGGCGGAAGCCUGAUGCAGCAACGCCGCGUGCGGGAUGACGGCCUUCGGGUUGUAAACCGCUUUCGCCUGUGACGAAGCGUGAGUGACGGUAAUGGGUAAAGAAGCACCGGCUAACUACGUG